ensembl:lncRNA
UAUCAUUGCUGACUGGACCUCGAUGCCAAGGGAAGGAGAGUAUGGCUUUGAUCCUGUGCAUCUCGGCUAUUUAACCUCAGCUAGCCACCGGAAAUUGUGGGCCACAAGUGCAAGGCCGACCACCGAAAAAUCAGCUUGCAUCAGAGCUGGGACAUAGUGAGAUGGGUGAGCACCAAGGUGAUGCGACUAAGGGUCAAGGUCAUUCAAGUGACAGUAGGAGUCAGGGGUUGCUGGGAGACACCCCAGGCUGCUGGGACUGGCCUUUUUUCAGAGAGGACCCACUCCAUCCCCGUGCCCGAUGCCCACCGCCUUUGCCCCUCUCCCAGUGUCUCAAUCUUCAGCGCCCACCCACCGGCGUCCCCCCGCUUACACAGCCCGCCCGGCCCCCUUGGGUCCUUGUCUGCCAUCCCCUCACUGACAGCCACCCAGACACAGCCACUGGCAGCCAAGCGGGAACGGGACCCCCAGGCCAUCCAAGACCUGCAUCGUCUCCAUUGUAUCAGACGGAGGCUUAGAAUCGUGCGGUUGUGGUGGUUCAGUUUCCAAGAUGCCGCACCCUUCACGUUCAAGACCCAGGAAGCAGUACCGCCGACAGGCCCGCUUUUCGGCUGAGAUCCGGCCAGCGGGAGACUGAUGCCUAAGUUACCCAGAGCUGCCAGGAAGCUGGGUAUGCAGCUAGGCUCCUUACAGGCGUGACCUGAUGAUCCUGCCGCCUCAGGAGCCCAGGGAGGUGAGUAUUGUAUUCCCAUUUUGCAGACGAGCACGUUAAAACGCGCAGAUGGAGCGACCUGCCCACGAUCCCGUGGCUACUAACGCACGGAGUUGAAAACCUAGGCAGGGGCCGUGUUAAAAAUCUUUAACGACCCGCACAGCACGGGAUGCCAGCUAUGAGCACGCAGCACGCCAAUGCUUCCCAGCUGAACAGCAGCCUCAGUGAGGCUGCCUUCGAUCUAUUAAACCCGGAAGGAGCCCUCCUGGGGAGGUCGCUGCAUGUGGGAUGUAAAUGAGGGAGCUUCCUGCUAGUUCAGACAGCUUGGGAGUGGACCAGAGGGCUGGCCCCAGCACCGGGGUGAAAAGCAUAUGAUGUGUAGCCAAGAGGUCACCUCCAGGAGGCCAGUCAGUACCCUCGGAAGGAACCAGAAAAACCCCAGAAGCAUGGGCCAGAGUCUGGAAGCAGCCAAGAGGAAGAACACAGCAUGUGAACCCAACACAGGCCGUGGCAAACCUGAGAGCUGAGGUCGCUGAGGGCCCCCGGGUGCCAAAGCCGGCAAAGGUCUGACUAUCUAGGCCAAGCUUCGUGGGUCUGAACGCGGUCCAAAUUCCUGCAUGGUAUUCGGCCGUAACUCCUUUAAUUCCGUUCAAGACCAGCAGGUCUUUGGUGACCCUGCCCGGAUGGACCUGAAGCCCAGAUCCACUCCCUGUUAGCUCUGCAACCUUGACCAAGUUGCUUAACCUCUCUGUGUGUCAGUUUCCUCAUCUGCAAAAUGUUACUGCGGCGAUGAUUACAUAAAUUAUGCUGUUUAAGCCCCUUGAGCGGUAGUCCAUAAAUAAUUUUCCCAGGGUGGCGUGAUCAAGCACUAAUCACGCCAACCUAUUCCCUUUCCUCUUGAUGUGUCCACACCUUGAAUUGGUUAGGAAUUGUGCUCGGCUGCUAGUAAUAGAGAACUGAAAUAAUAGCGGUUUAAACAAAGUAGGGGUUUGUUUUCUUCUCACUUAAAAAGAAGUCCAGGGCUGGCAUAGUGUGGCCCAUCUUCAUUUUGUUCGUUUCUCUGUUAUCCUUCAUGAAUGGUUUGCAUUAUCAAGGUCGCAAAAUUGCUGCUGCAACCCCAGCCAUCAUGUUGUGAUUCCAGGCACGCAGAAGGAGGAAGAGGGAGCCCCAUUUUUAAAGGAGCUUUAACAGUAUCCACAAAGGAAGCUGGAAAGUGUAGGAUUUUUAGUUGGUCUCUCGCCACUUCUAAUAAAAGUCAAAGUUUAGUUGCUAAGGUAAAGGAG